CCUUUUGAGAUGAAUAUCCCACAAGCUCUGUUGCCCAAAUCUUCUGCUAAUGGAUUUCCCCGUCAAAGAGGUGAUAGAGAGGGUGGGGCUAGGUUGGAGAAUAAGGUGCAGUCAGGAAAACCUAAUUAGGGAAGAAAUCAAACUACAGUGGCUGGUGGGAAGGCUUGAGGAUAUGAGAGUUCUUCCCGUGAUCGGCUAGUUUUUCUCACAACCUGUCUCAUUGGGCAUAUGGUGGAAGUCCAUGUGAAAAAUGGAUCAAUUUACACUGGAAUAUUUCAUGCAACUGAUGCAGAAAAGGAUUUUGGAAUAAUCUUGAAAAUGACUCGCAUGAUAAAGGAAGGUACUUCGCAAGGAAACAAGGUUGUUACUGAGUUUGUUAGCAAGGCACCCACAAAGAUUUUAAUUAUACCUGCCAAAGAACUUGUGCAAGUUAUAGCAAAGGUUUUGCUAAUUUUCCUAU